GGACUCUUCCAAGAGAUGGCACACCCUCUCCCAAUUCCACACCAAAAUAUAUCCAAAAAAAUAUGGGAUAACCCUUAUCAUAUUUUUCAAUAGUAAAUUAAUUUUGUAGCUAAUUUUUUACAAAAAAUAUCCUCAAAAUGUCACACACUUUAGGAGAAAAAAAUAAGUUGGCGGUAAGGCUUUCUAGUUAAUGUCAAACAUUAUCUAUAUGGUAUCCAAUUCAAAUCAGAUUUGAACAUACCAAAUAAAAUUAUAUUUUAACCAAAUAUAGAUGUAAGAAAGAGAAGGGAAAUGACUCUUUGGCAUAAAAAAAUAUCAUACAAAAUAAUUUUGUGCUUGAGGAAGAAUGGCAUGCAAAGUUUGGUAUGCAAGGGAUGAAGAGUCCAUUCUCUUAUGGACUCUUUGUUUCCUUAUUUGAAUCCAAACCAAAUCACAUCUAAUUUAGUCCAAAUAAAAUAGAUAAAAUCUAAUUUAAUUAGAUUCAUAAAUUAUUAAUCAAAUUCUAAUUAAAUUAAAAAUUAAUUAAACCAAAGUCCUGAUCAAAUCA
rnacentral:lncRNA from 1 species